UCACUUGAAAUACUUGAAAUUCAGAAAGGAGGUUCUAUGAAUGGUAAAAUUAUGCAAGUAUGUAGUGGUUAAGUUUCUCUUUUGUUUAAAGCUAUUAACAAAUUAAGUUGAUUGCUUGAGAUGAGAUUGAUAGUUAAAUGCAAGAAAAUGAUAAUAUUUGGUUAUGUAUUGAAAUGCAGAAAGGCUUGCAAGCAAACUCUUAUGUGGAGGGAAUAGGGAGGUCAGGUUUUUUUAGUUCUGAUGAUUAGAGUCCACUACAAGAUGAUCCCCAACCGUCAGUAUUCUUUGUGCUAUAUUGAAUAAAAUUUCCAGUCCACCUUUGGGUAGUUUGGAACUGACUGUCUUCAUUUAAUACAGCUUAUAAACUACAGAGGAAUUCUUCACACUAUCUCGUACUGUACUGCUUAGAUUUAAUCUAAAAGCGUUUACAAUGGCAUUGGGAUUUUCAAGCUGACGACUGGAUAUAUGCUUUGUCCAGCUAGAGAAAUUGAACCAUCUGCAAAACAGCAUUUUAUGUCAGAGGUUUAUCUAACAAUGAGAACGCACCAUCAAGAAAACUCUGCACACAUUGAUGGACUGAUGAGGUUCUUACUAAAGCAAGGCAUUUUGCUUCACGUAUCUCAGAGAAGUUAAUUAAGAGUGGACGUGUCCCUGAAUUCCAUUCCAUGGAAACACUGGUGAUGACCCUAAAUGGCUUGUAAACAUUGAACAGGAAGCUAUGGGGGUUUGUGAUCAUGAGCCGUCACGCGAGGAAGUUUGACACCAGAUUGUUUCGUUGGUUAUAUAUUUGUACCUAGGAAGGAAAAUAUUUAAGGCAACUAAAUAGUGGUGAAAUUGAUACUUACGUCAUUCAUCAUCAGGAUUGUGAUGAUAUUGUUUGUGGCUAGUACCCAAGACUGUUCUGUUAUGCCAUCUAGAAAGUAAG